AGCUCCAUUAGCGUAUACUAAAGUUGCUGCGGUUAAAAAGCUCGUAGUUGGAUUUUGGACCGUCGCUAGCGACUUGGCCUGCCGGAAUGGUGUGUGCCGUUGUUGCGCGGUCUUUCUGUCCCUGGGUGUUGGGCGGCGAUUGAUUUCGCGACUUGCCCGUUGGCACUUGGGACCGUUUACUUUGAAUAAAGAGGAGCGUUCAAAGCAGAGUAAGGCAAAUGAAAAUUUUGUUUAAAUGGCUCGUUGAACAUUCUAGCAUGGGAUAAUGGAAAAGGACCUCUCGUCUUGUUUUGUUGGUUGUCACACAAGAGGUAAUGAUUAAGAGGGACAGUUGGGGAUCUUCGUAUUCAGUUGUCAGCGGUGAAAUGCUUGGAUUAUCGGAAGACGAACUUCUGCGAAA
rnacentral:rRNA from 1 species